GAUUCCAUUGUGACACAGCUCCCACAGCACAGGCACUGCUUUGUGGGAGGGUCUUUCCCCAUGACUGUGCUGUGUGUUUAGACACCUUGGGCACCCCUUGCCGAACAUAACCUGGAACAGUUUUCACUUUUACAGUUCACUGGUUGUGCCUCUGUAUAUUCCAAGCAAUGAUUUUUUUUUAAAACUGAGAAGGCCUUUUAAUUGAGAUUUCUUCUCAAGAACUAGGUAAUUCUAACAAUCAAUACAAGCCCUCCUGCUCAGCAUGUGUGUGAGCUCUCUGCUGCUCUGCCCAGCUGAAGGCUCCUCUGUUGCAGAGCUGGACCAAGUGAAGAAAGAUGACCUCGGCAGCAGCCCAGACUGAGCCCAGAACUGAGAGAGGGGGGCAGCACAUUCCCAAACUUCUCUCCUGGUCACUUCUCAGGGUUUAUGGCCUUGAUGCAAUUAAACAAGCAUUUAAGACCUGAGCCCUCUCUGUGCUCACCCUCUGCUGGGAUACUAUUUUAAGUAAAUUCUAUAUUAAAGACAA